rnacentral:rRNA from 1 species
UACGUAGGGGGCAAGCGUUGUCCGGAAUCAUUGGGCGUAAAGAGCGUGUAGGCGGCCCGGUAAGUCCGCUGUGAAAGUCCAGGGCUCAACCCUGGGAUGCCGGUGGAUACUGGCGGGCUCGAGUCCGGAAGAGGAGUGUGGAAUUCCUGGUGUAGCGGUGAAAUGCGCAGAUAUCAGGAGGAACACCGGUGGCGAAGGCGGCAUCCUGGACCGGCAUUGACGCUGAGGCGCGAAAGCCAGGGGAGCAAACGGG